CAUAAAAAGCGGAAGAAAUCUGAGCUCAAUGGACACCUCUCAAGUUCCCCUGCACACAGAAGGCUGGCCACUGGAUGCCUGCAGUUAUCCAAGAGAGACCUUGUCAAGACCCUGGGCACGCCAUGCAGCCGUAUUGGCCAACUUCCUGUGCAUGGGAACCUGGGAGGCAGUGACCAUGAAACGGUCGAGUUCAGGAUCCUGACACAAGGAAGAAAGGAGAGCAGCAGAAUACGGACCCUGGACUUCAGAAAAGCAGACUUUGACUCCCUCAGGGAACAGAUGGGCAGGAUCCCCUGGGAGAAUAAUAUGAAGGGCAAAGGGGGCAAAUUUGAACCUGCAGUUUAUUCUAUCGCUGUUACAAGUCUGAACCAAGAACUUUGCCAUUUCUGUAUGGAAUUGAUUCUAUUUAACCAAUUCUAUCUCUCAUCUAUAUCUUUUUCCUUUUGUGAAUAAACCUUUAGAUUUUAGAUUCUAAAGAAUUGGCAAUAUCGUGAAUUGUGGGUAAAAUCUGAGUUGUAUAUUGACCUGGGUCUGGGGCUUGGUCCUUUGGGAUUGAGAGAACUUUUUUUUCCUUUACUGGGGUAUUGG